AAUGAGAGAAUGAUAAAUCAGAUUUUUCCUUUUGUCAGCUUUUUCUCCCUAAAAAAAUUCAAAUCAAACUAAGUACUAAAAAUCAAAAGGAAAAAUCUGAUUUGUCAUACUCCCAUU
rnacentral:pre_miRNA from 1 species